rnacentral:rRNA from 1 species
GAUGAACGCUGGCGGCGUGCCUAAUACAUGCAAGUCGAGCGAACGGACGAGAAGCUUGCUUCUCUGAUGUUAGCGGCGGACGGGUGAGUAACACGUGGAUAACCUACCUAUAAGACUGGGAUAACUUCGGGAAACCGGAGCUAAUACCGGAUGAUAUUUUGAACCGCAUGGUUCAAAAGUGAAAGACGGUCUUGCUGUCACUUAUAGAUGGAUCCGCGCUGCAUUAGCUAGUUGGUAAGGUAACGGCUUACCAAGGCAACGAUGCAUAGCCGACCUGAGAGGGUGAUCGGCCACACUGGAACUGAGCCACGGUCCAGACUCCUACGGGAGGCAGCAGUAGGGAAUGUUCCGCAAUGGGCGAAAGCCUGACGGAGCAACGCCGCGUGAGUGAUGAAGGUCUUCGGAUCGUAAAACUCUGUUAUUAGGGAAGAACAUAUGUGUAAGUAACUGUGCACAUCUUGACGGUACCUAAUCAGAAAGCCACGGCUAACUACGUG